GACAGAGGGUGCAAACGUUGCUCGGAAUCACUGGGCGUAAAGGGCGUGUAGGCGGGAAGGAUAGUCAGAUGUGAAAGCCCUGGGCUCAACCCAGGAACUGCAUUUGAAACUCCCUUUCUUGAGUGUCGGAGAGGAAAGCGGAAUUCCUGGUGUAGAGGUGAAAUUCGUAGAUAUCAGGAGGAAUACCGAUGGCGAAGGCAGGUCUCUGGGCUGACACUGACGCUCAUGCACGAAAGCGUGGGGAGCAAACAGG
rnacentral:rRNA from 1 species